rnacentral:rRNA from 1 species
AUUCAACGCUGGCGGCAUGCUUUACACAUGCAAGUCGAACGGUAACAGGCCUUCGGGUGCUGACGAGUGGCGAACGGGUGAGUAAUGCAUCGGAACGUACCCAGAGGUGGGGGAUAACGCAGCGAAAGCUGUGCUAAUACCGCAUGUGAUCUGAGGAUGAAAGCGGGGGACCGAGCAGCAAUGUUUGGCCUCGCGCCUUUGGAGCGGCCGAUGUCGGAUUAGCUAGUUGGUGGGGUAAAGGCCUACCAAGGCGACGAUCCGUAGCUGGUCUGAGAGGACGACCAGCCACACUGGGACUGAGACACGGCCCAGACUCCUACGGGAGGCAGCAGUGGGGAAUUUUGGACAAUGGGCGCAAGCCUGAUCCAGCAAUGCCGCGUGCGGGAAGAAGGCCUUCGGGUUGUAAACCGCUUUUGGCAGGAACGAAACGGUGUCCGCUAAUACCGGGCGCUAAUGACGGUACCUGCAGAAUAAGCACCGGCUAACUACGUG